GUCCCCUUCGUGCGGCUGAUGCUGGCUGGCCUGCGCAGUGUGGUGGGCCAGGUGAGGAGCGGCCGGACCCUGCGCCUCGCUUGUGCUGUUGUGAAACAGUGGCUGGAAGGAGUGAAGACUCACUUGUCCUCUGGAUCCCAAUGCCCCUGGCCUGCCAUGGAGAAAGAGCAGAUCUAUGAGAACCUUCAGGAGCUGCUCUUCUCUGUGCUGAGGAACUGGCAGGACUGCCAGGAGGAGGAGG